rnacentral:sRNA from 1 species
GAGGGUCGCUUGAGCCCAGAAGUUCAAGGAUGUAGUGUGCUAUAUCAAAGCCAAUUGGGUGUCCUUACUAGGUUCAGCAUCAAUAUGGUAACCUCCUAGGAACAGGGACACUAGUAGGUUUGCAUGUGCUGGGCACUAGUGGGCUUAUGCCUGUGAGUAGCCACUGCACUCCAGUCUGGGCAACAUGGCAAUACC